GCUUAUAUCAGUCAAAGAAUGAAAGCUGCAUAUAUAUCAUUAGCAAGAAUUUCAAAUAUGGCCCUCAAUUUUCUUUUUUCUAAAUUGUAUAAUAAACAAGAUGGUUAAUGGCUAUGCUGAGAUUUCCUCUGACUUUAACUCAGCCAGAGUAAGCUUAGAAUUUAAAGGUUAUCACAACAUGAUGGUAACCGUGUUUAUUAGCCUUCUUUUGCUUUCAUAACAUGGAUAA
rnacentral:lncRNA from 1 species